rnacentral:rRNA from 1 species
UCGGGAAUUUUGGGCAAUGGGCGAAAGCCUGACCCAGCAACGCCGCGUGAAGGAUGAAGUAUUUCGGUAUGUAAACUUCGUAAGAAUAGGAAGAAUAAAUGACGGUACUAUUUGUAAGGUCCGGCUAACUACGUGCCAGCAGCCGCGGUAAUACGAAGGGGACUAGCGUUGUUCGGAAUCACUGGGCGUAAAGCGCACGUAGGCGGAUUUGUAAGUCAGGGGUGAAAUCCCGGGGCUCAACCUCGGAACUGCCUUUGAUACUGCGGAUCUCGAGUCCGAUAGAGGUGAGUGGAAUUCCUAGUGUAGAGGUGAAAUUCGUAGAUAUUAGGAAGAACACCGGUGGCGAAGGCGGCUCACUGGAUCGGUACUGACGCUGAGGUGCGAAAGCGUGGGGAGCAAACAGGAUUAGAUACCCCUGUAGUCCCUGAGCGGGCUGGCAAGGCGCAU